GCCUUGACUUUUUAUAAACAGUAUCCCCUCGCUUAGAAAAUAAACUAAAUGGUUUGCUUUAUAUUAAAUACAUAUAUUUACACUUUUAAUAUCCAUCUUUCGUGAUUUGGACCUAUUUACAUUUUUAUAAGUUCGAGAGCAAACUUGCGCCGAUUUUUAGGCACCACAUAUUCGGGAAAAAAAUAGCUGGUAAUUUUUUCUGCAAUUGCAAUUUACAAUGUUGCAAUAUUUACAUGCAGAAAUACGUGUACAAAUUGCAUGGUGUCUGUCUUGCUUUAUUGUACGAAAUAAUUUAAGUAUUUCGAAAACUUAACAAAGAUAUAUCUUUUGAACCACUGAAAUUUAUUGAACGAAUCUUUUUAUUUUAAUUCGAAGUAAAACUUAUUGCUCUAUGGCGGGCGGAUAUGCAUAUGUAAGUUAUAGUAUAAAAUAUAAAGUAUUACAUUAAAUUAAAUUGGAUGGUAUUUUCAUCCAUGCCUAAGAAAAUCGGUAAUAAAUAAGUAAAUCAAAUAUUAAUUAUCACUAGAUCACUACAUGUUGCUAUAUCGUAGGACGGUAAUUUUGAUUGGUUUAUAUAGGGGUAUGCAGCAUGCAAUAAUUCCACAGAGAAGCGCCGCCUAGGUAUAUAAAAUGUAUUGCUUGUGACCUCUAUACACCAUAGAUAUUUGGGGUGUGUGUAUUGGUGUCGUUGGUAAUUCAUGUCAGAACGCCUGAUGAACAGCGGUUACUGUGUGGUGGUGGUGACUGAUAAUGUGUACCCAUGUGGGAUUCAGUCGAGUUAUCCCGGAUAGUUUUCUUUGGUCGAACAGCUAAUUCGUUAACGUACUUUGACCUAGUUUUGCCACUAUUAUUACCAGAUAAUCAGUACAUAUUACUUCGAAACAGAUGUUCGUUGAGCAGUUGGGAAACAUAUUUACUUAAAUAUUUAAAAAAUAAGGAACAUCUUUUCACCUAGAUCGUUCCGGGUAUUACCUCUUGACGAUUUAAUAAAAACUAUUUAUCGCAAAAGGGGAAAAACAAUUUGUUGGGAAAAAUAUCAGAUCUUUGUACACGAAAUAGGUAAACAAAGCGUGUUUUUAUAAGUUUUCAGGUAUAUAAGUAACAAGCUUUUGCUUAUGAAACACUAAUAGUAGUUUGCAGGUUGAAUCAGUAAUCAGUUUAAUUACUUCAAAAUGGGCUACAAAGCGUCAAUCAUUUUGGGACUUUUUUUAAUUUUUGCUAUUAUCGGCAUUGUUUAUUCAAUGCCUAACGUGGAGAAAAAGGGCCCACCAUUAGGUAUUACGUGCACCGGAACUGUGGAUCCCACUUUCUGCACCAUACAUUGCAUUUACGAUGGUUAUAAGGGAGGAAGAUGCAUCAACGGAAUCUGUAACUGCUUUAAUUAAAAGGCAAUUUUUCAAUUUUUUUCAAUCACGUCCUUUUACUUACACUUGUGCUUCUAAAAUACAAUGUCUAGAUUUAUUUGUAAUAUAUUAGGUGUUAGCUGGAAAUAAAUGGCUAAACUCUAA